CUUCACCCCUGCCAGCGACGCGUGGGCUUUUGGGGUGACGCUGUGGGAGGUGCUGACCCGGUGCAGGGAGCAGCCCUACGGGGCGCUGAGCGAUGAGCAGGUGAUCGCCAACGCGGGCCGCCACUGCCGAGGCCAUGGGGAGGUGCGACGGCCGCCCCCAACGGAAGAAGUCAGCCUGGCCACGCGGCUCCUCCUGGUGUUGUUGGCAGUGGUCAGCGUUCAGGUUUACAGCGCGCCGGCGGAGACGGUGACAACGCAACCUGGGGAGGUUGAGGUGACAACACAGGCGGGAGAGGUGGCCGUGACACCCAAGAUGGUGGCCGUGACACCCAAAGCGGUGACAACACAACCAGGAGAGGUGGCCGUGACACCCAAAGCGGUGACAACACAACCCG
rnacentral:lncRNA from 1 species